rnacentral:rRNA from 1 species
GCAUACCUACAUCAUAGUGUUAAUUCACAGGAUCCCAUUAGAACUCUGUAGUUAAAUGCACUCAGGAUAGAGUAGUACUGGGAUGGGUGACCACUUGGUAAGUCCUAAUGUUUUACAUGCC